rnacentral:rRNA from 1 species
GACGAACGCUGGCGGCGUGCUUAACACAUGCAAGUCGAACGAUGAAGCCGGAGCUUGCUCUGGUGAAUUAGUGGCGAACGGGUGAGUAACACGUGAGUAACCUGCCCUUGACUCUGGGAUAACUGCUAGAAAUGGUAGCUAAUACCGGAUACGACCCUCGGAGGCAUCUCCAGGGGGUGGAAAGAAUUUCGGUCAAGGAUGGACUCGCGGCCUAUCAGCUAGUUGGUGAGGUAACGGCGCGCCAAGGCGACGACGGGUAGCCGGCCUGAGAGGGUGACCGGCCACACUGGGACGGAGACACGGCCCAGACUCCUACGGGAGGCAGCAGUGGGGAAUCUUGCGCAAUGGGCGAAAGCCUGACGCAGCAACGCCGCGUGAGGGAAGAAGGCCUUCGGGUUGUAAACCUCUUUCAGUAGGGACGAAGCUUCCGGGGUUAAUAGCCUACGGGGUGACGGUACCUACAGAAGAAGCCCCGGCUA